rnacentral:tRNA from 1 species
GACUCGAUAGCUCAGCUGGUAGAGCAAUACACUUUUAAUGUAUGGGUCCUGGGUUCGAGCCCCAGUCGAGUCACGA